rnacentral:tRNA from 1 species
GGAGGAGUCGGAUAGUGGACCAUUCCGAUUGAUUGGAAAUCAAUUGUGCGCAAGCACGCGUGGGUUCGAAUCCCACCUCCUCCGCAA